UUAUAAAUGUCAUGCUGUCGCCACCGUGAGGCAACAGGCAAGAGGGGAGGACAGCCACUGACAACUUCUUGCAUGAAUUAGUUACAACAUCCAAGUUAAUGAGAGCCAUUCUAGUGAGUGAGUUUGAUGACCUUCAGUUUGGAAACUCUGCUUCAACAUACCUGUGCCAAAUCCAGGUCAGAAACAGGUACUGAUCCGUGAGCAUGUGUGUGGAGUGAACCCAGUGGAGACCUACAUCCGCUCUGGGACCUACACCAGGAAGCCCAGCCUGCCCUACACUCCAGGAACUGAUGUGUCCGGGGUCGUGGAGGCUGCUCAUACAGGCUGGUGACUUUGUGUUCACCACAGCCACAAAGAUGGGAGGGUAUGCAGAAUACACCUUUGUGUCUGAGGACUGUGUCCAGCGGCUGCCAGCCUCCUUAGACUACAAACAGGGAGCUGCCAUUGGGAUCCCCUACUUCACAGCAUACAGAGCUCUCUUCCA